GCUGGCCCCCUCCCCCCUCCAUCCCCCAACAUCAUAGGCCCAAAGGGCACCCUUCCUAAAAAUGACCAUGUUUUGCAAAAUGAGGUUCUCGUGCUUGUUUUUCCGAUUUUUUUUUACUUCGAACAACUUUCGAGAUUGAAGAGAAUGGAUUUUCGAAGGUCUAAACUAUAUGUUAUUCAUACAAGAAUGUCAAGAUGUCCCUAAAUGCCUUGUAGCCACCAUCGCACAAGCAAAAUUCUAACAUUUUUUGUAUUCACGUAGCAUAUGUGUGGAAGUUUGCAUGCACCCGAUUAAUGUUUCAACAUUCAUAUUCACUUGUUCAACUCCUAGUUCAUAUUUCAACACUUGUUCAACUCAAAAUCAUUUUCACUAAUUUUUAGCCAAUUAUUUUAUAUUUUCUCAAUUCUUGUUAAUUUCUUCCAUCCAUAUAAUUAAGUAAAUCUUAUCCCAAAUAGUUUUGGGAUAUAUUUACUAAUUUUCCAAGUCAUUCCACAUGAUUUUUUUGUAUUUUUUGUAAUUUUUUUGAUUUUAUAAUAAUUAUUUUUGUAAAUAAAUUAAAAAAAUAUUUUCGGUUGUCAAAUUUUUUUUAAAUUUUUUCCUAGUGUUUGUUGAAUUAUUUCAUGCCUUUGUACAAAAAAUCAAGUCAAAAUAAUAAGUAUAUAUUUUUAAAACACCAAUUAUGACUCCUCAAAAUUUCCAAUGUUUCCUCCUGUCACUCAAAGGAUUGCUAAAAAUGCUAUUAUAGGGGGGGGCAGGUAGUCAGCAGCAUGGGGUGCCAAGGCAUGCAGGCAAGCAGCACCCAUGCAGGCCAUGUGCAUGUCGCGUGGCCACGCAGUGCAUGUCGCGUGGCCACGCAUGGCACGUGUCAGCAUGUCAGCAUGCCUAGGUGUGUCGGCAGCCGUGGUGGUUGGCCCCCCCUUUGCCACCAUCGGAUGUUGCCCCUAGUCCCCCGCCGCCUCCGUCUGCCCGCCAAUCACUGGCCCUCGAGGACCGCCCGGCCAAGUGCCAAGCGGUUGCUUUGAGUGUUGCCAUGGGUUGCGUGUUGCUGGAGGUGGUGGGUAUCCCUCGAAACGAUUGAUGCCACGAUGCCCAAUGGUGGUGCGACGCCAUUGGGCAACAAGCUGACAGGUCCGGUCUCUGAAUGGCAUGCUAGGCCAACGGUGUCGCCACCAUCGUUGGCCAACAAUGUGUUUUGGCUCGGAUGCUCUUCCAAACAUUUUUAAAAAUUAUAUUUUAAAAAAUAUCAAUUUUGAGUAUAUAUUUUUAAAUCCCUAAUUAUGAUUCCUCAAAAUUU